GGAGUUUGGGCCGUGUCUCAGUCCCAAUGUGGCCGUACACCCUCUCAGGCCGGCUACUGAUCGUCGCCUUGGUGGGCCGUUACCUCACCAACUAGCUAAUCAGACGCGGGUCCAUCUCACACCACCGGAGUUUUUCACACUGUACCAUGCGGUACUGUGCGCUUAUGCGGUAUUAACAGUCGUUUCCAACUGUUAUCCCCCUGUGUGAGGCAGGUUACCCACGCGUUACUCACCCGUCCGCCACUAAGUAUUCCAAAGAAUCUCUCCGAGCAAGCUCUUCGAUCUUCCGAAGGAAUACUCCGUUCGACUUGCAUGUGUUAAGCACGCCGCCAGCGUUUAUC
rnacentral:rRNA from 1 species